rnacentral:rRNA from 1 species
UACGAGGGGGGCGAGCGUUGUUCGGAAUUACUGGGCGUAAAGCGUGCGUAGACGGCUAUCUAAGUCGGGUGUGAAAGCCCCGGGCUCAACCUGGGAAUUGCAUUCGAGACUGAAUAGCUAGGGUGCGGUAGAGGGAAGCGGAAUUUCCGGUGUAGCGGUGAAAUGCGUAGAUAUCGGAAGGAACAUCAGUGGCGAAAGCGGCUUCCUGAACCAGCACCGACGUUCAGGCACGAAAGCGUGGGGAGCAAACAGG